CCUACGGGAGGCAGCAGUGGGGAAUAUUGCACAAUGGGGGAAACCCUGAAGCAGCGACGCCGCGUGAGGGAUGAAGUAAUUAGGUAUGUAAAGCCCUUUUUGCAGGGAAGAAAAUGACGGUACCUGACUAAGAAGCACCGGCUAACUACGUGCCAGCAGCCGCGGUAAUACGGAGGGGGCAAGCGUUACCCGGAUUCACUGGGUGUAAAGGGGGCGUAGGCGGGAGUGCAAGUCAGAAGUGAAAGUCUGGGGCUCAACUCCCGAACUGCACUGGAAACUAUACGUCUUGAGUGCAGGAGAGGUAAGUGGAAUUCCUGGUGUAGGGGUGAAAUGCGUAGAUAUUAAGAGGAACACCAGUUGCGAAGGCGGCUUACUGGAC
rnacentral:rRNA from 1 species